rnacentral:rRNA from 1 species
GCCCAGACUCCUACGGGAGGCAGCAGUGGGGGAUAUUGCACAAUGGGGGAAACCCUGAUGCAGCGACGCCGCGUGAGUGAAGAAGUAUUUCGGUAUGUAAAGCUCUAUCAGCAGGGAAGAAGAUGACAGUACCUGAGUAAGAAGCCCCGGCUAACUACGUGCCAGCAGCCGCGGUAAUACGUAGGGAGCAAGCGUUGUCCGGAAUUACUGGGCGUAAAGGGCGCGUAGGUGGGCGCUUAAGUCAGGUGUGAAAACUCCGGGCUCAACCUGGAGACUGCACUUGAAACUGGGUGUCUUGAGGGCAGGAGAGGAAAGUGGAAUUCCUAGUGUAGCGGUGAAAUGCGUAGAUAUUAGGAGGAACACCAGUGGCGAAGGCGGCCUGCUGGACAGUAACUGACGUUGAGGCUCGAAAGCGUGGGGAGCAAACAGGAUUAGAUACCCCUGUACUA